rnacentral:lncRNA from 1 species
UUCCGGGUCACUGGCACAGGGCUGCGGUUUCCGCGGCUGAGGUGGUCGCAGCGGGCUCCCUACCUGGCUCUGCUACCGCCGCGGCGGAAGCGCCUUCCCUCAGGACAUCAAUGCAAGCCUGAAGAAAAAGUAAUCGCUUCCUUUUAAGCCAUGGCAUAUCAGUUAUACAGAAAUACAACUUUGGGGAACAGUCUUCAAGAGAGCCUUGAUGAGCUCAUACAGUCUCAACAGAUCACCCCCCAGCUUGCCCUUCAAGUUCUACUUCAGUUUGAUAAAGCUAUAAAUUCAGCAUUGGCUCAGAGAGUCAGGAACAGAGUCAAUUUCAGGGGCUCUCUAAAUACAUACAGAUUCUGCGAUAAUGUUUGGACUUUUGUAUUGAAUGAUGUUGAAUUCAGAGAGGUGACAGAACUUAUUAAAGUGGAUAAAGUGAAAAUUGUAGCCUGUGAUGGUAAAAAUACCGGUUCCAAUACCACGGAAUGAGUAGAGAAAUUGGGCUUUUUUAUGCCACCUUCUAUUAUUUUCAUCACUUUUUGAAGAGAAACAUAGAAGAGACUUUUUUUAUUUAUUCUCACGGUGCAGAAAUAACAACACUGUGCUAUAUAUACCUACCCAAGGGUUCCACAGAGAGAAGCAUGUGACUCUGUUCUCUUAAAUGACCUUUAGUACACAGCAUAAAGAAAUGUAACUUUUUUUUAAUGACAAAUCAAAAGUGGUUGCCUUCCUAAGCAUAUUCUUCAAUAAAACUUGUUUUAAAACUUGUUGUGAGUAAUAUUUGAAGCUGGUUAGCAGGAAGUUGUCAAAAUACCAGAUAAAUUGAAGAGGGACUUAGAAAAGUUGUCCUUUGAUUAAAAAAAAUUUCCUGUU